rnacentral:rRNA from 1 species
GACGAACGCUGGCGGCGUGCUUAACACAUGCCAGUCGAACGGAAAGGCCCCUUUGGGGGUACUCGAGUGGCGAACGGGUGAGUAACACGUGAGUAACCUGCCCUUGACUUCGGGAUAACUUCAGGAAACUGGGGCUAAUACCGGAUAGGAAUCCUUGCUGCAUGGUGGGGGUUGGAAAGCUUCGGCGGUUUUGGAUGGACUCGCGGCUUAUCAGCUUGUUGGUGGGGUAGUGGCUUACCAAGGCUUUGACGGGUAGCCGGCCUGAGAGGGCGACCGGCCACAUUGGGACUGAGAUACGGCCCAGACUCCUACGGGAGGCAGCAGUGGGGAAUAUUGCACAAUGGGCGGAAGCCUGAUGCAGCAACGCCGCGUGCGGGAUGACGGCCUUCGGGUUGUAAACCGCUUUCAGCAGGGGCGAAGCUUGUGGUGACGGUACCUGCAGAAGAAGCACCGGCUGACUACGUG